UUCUUUUGUUUUAUUGCAACAACAAUAGUGCCAAAAAAUUGCACAGCUCGCCCAUUUACAAUGACAUCAGAUAAAAAUGUGAGAAAUAUAAAAACAUCAAAGCAAUCGAUUUUGACACAGUAAUGCUUAAACCUGAGGAGAAAUACUCGUCCACACCAGAGCCUCACCACGAAAUACAAGUUAGAGAAAAGAACCCUGACAUGUGUUAGAU